GACGAACGCUGGCGGCGUGCUUAACACAUGCAAGUCGAACGGAAAGGCCCCUUUGGGGGUACUCGAGUGGCGAACGGGUGAGUAACACGUGAGUAACCUGCCCUUGACUUCGGGAUAACUUCAGGAAACUGGGGCUAAUACCGGAUAGGAAUCCUUGCUGCAUGGUGGGGGUUGGAAAGCUUCGGCGGUUUUGGAUGGACUCUCGGCUUAUCAGCUUGUUGGUGGGGUAGUGGCUUACCAAGGCUUUGACGGGUAGCCGGCCUGAGAGGGCGACCGGCCACAGUGGGACUGAGAGACGGCCCAGACUCCGACGGUAGGCAGAAGGGGGGAAUAUUGCACAAGGGGCGCAAGCCGGAUGCAGAAACGCCUCGGGCGGGAGGACGGCCUUAGGGUUGUAAACCGCUUUCAGCAGGGGCGAAGCUUGUGGUGACGGUACCUGCAGAAGAAGCACCGGCUAACUACGUG
rnacentral:rRNA from 1 species